GGAGUUAGCCGGUGCUUCUUCUGUGAGUGAUGUCCUUCCUGCCGGUUAUUGACCCGCAGGCCUUCUUCCUCACUGAAAGUGCUUUACAACCCGAAGGCCUUCUUCACACACGCGACAUGGCUGGAUCAGGGUUGCCCCCAUUGUCCAAUAUUCCCCACUGCUGCCUCCCGUAGGAGUCUGGGCCGUGUCUCAGUCCCAGUGUGGCUGAUCAUCCUCUCAGACCAGCUACGGAUCGUCGCCUUGGUGAGCCGUUACCUCACCAACCAGCUAAUCCGACAUAGGCUCAUCCGAUAGCGCGAGGCCCGAAGGUCCCCCGCUUUCCCCCGUAGGGCGUAUGCGGUAUUAGCCUGGGUUUCCCCAGGUUAUCCCCCACUACCGGGCAGAUUCCUAUGCAUUACUCACCCGUCCGCCGCUCGCCACCAGGGAGCAAGCUCCCCGUGCUGCCGCUCGACUUGCAUGUGUUAGGCCUGCCGCCAGCGUUCAAUCUGAGCCAGAAUCGAACCCUGA
rnacentral:rRNA from 1 species